AGCAGCCGCGGUAAUUCCAGCUUCAAUAGCGUAUAUUAAAGUUGUUGCAGUUAAAAAGCUCGUAGUUGAAUUUCGGGAUUAAUAGGUUGGUCAUGCCCUCGGUAUGUACUGAUUUCAUUGGUUCUCACCUUCUAAGGAAUCAUAAUGUCAUUCGUUUGAUGUUGUGGGGAAUUAGGACUGUUACCUUGAAAAAAUUAGAGUGUUUAAAGCAGGCUAACGCUUGGAUACAUUAGCAUGGAAUAAUGAAAUAGGACAUCCGAUUCUAUUUUGUGGUUUCUAGGAUCGAUGUAAUGAUUAAUAGGGAUAGUUGGGGGCAUUAGUAUUCAAUUGUCAGAGGUGAAAUUCUUGGAUUUAUUGAAGACUAACUAUUGCGAAAGCAUUUGCCAAGGAUGUUUUCAUUAAUCAGGAACGAAGUUAGGGGAUCGAAGACGAUCAGAUACCG
rnacentral:rRNA from 1 species